rnacentral:lncRNA from 1 species
CAGGGGGCUGCUUGGUGAUGAGCCAGCCUGAUGCCGACAGGUCUUGUAACCCACCGUGUAGUCAACCCCACUCGUACUGUAGCGAGACAAAAACAUGCCACUGUGAAGAAGGGUACACUGAAGUCAUGUCUUCUAACAGCACCCUUGAGCAAUGCACACUUAUCCCCGUGGUGGUAUUACCCACCAUGGAGGACAAAAGAGGAGAUGUGAAAACCAGUCGGGCUGUACAUCCAACCCAACCCUCCAGUAACCCAGCAGGACGGGGAAGGACCUGGUUUCUGCAGCCAUUUGGGCCAGAUGGGAGACUAAAGACCUGGGUUUACGGUGUAGCAGCUG